UUCAGUCUUGUUGUGACUUGG
rnacentral:piRNA from 1 species